UACAGAGGGUGCAAACGUUGUUCGGAAUUACUGGGCGUAAAGCGCACGUAGGCGGCUUAGCAAGUCGGAUGUGAAAUCCCUCGGCUCAACCAAGGAAGUGCAUCCGAAACUGCUGAGCUUGAGUACGAAAGAGGAUCGCGGAAUUCCCGGUGUAGAGGUGAAAUUCGUAGAUAUCGGGAGGAACACCAGUGGCGAAGGCGGCGAUCUGGGUCGAUACUGACGCUGAGGUGCGAAAGCGUGGGGAGCAAACAGG
rnacentral:rRNA from 1 species